AUCAGUUAUAAGUUAAUUGAUCUUUAGUUGGUUCCAUAACUUGCUAAUACGAAAAGAGAACAAAACAAAAAAAGUUAAUCAAAGGAUUUUACAAAAGCUAAAAAUUAACUAAAUCUCACAUCAUAAGAACCCCGAAAUUUAAUGAAGAAUUCUCCAAAACCCACAAAUUAAAACGUAAAAUUCUACAAAAUCAUGAAAAAAUUAAUACAAUCUAAUUAUAUUAAUCACCAAAUUGAAUUAGAUCUUCACAUCCAAUAAGUAACAGAGUUUGAAAACAUUAUACCCCAAGAAACCCCAAAUUUACAGAAAUUGGGAGCAAAGAUCGAAGAGAUCUCACGAAGCCGACAUCGAAAUCGUCAAUCGAAGAAGCAGCAGCACUGCAGAUAUAUCAACAUACAUUCAUCGUUAGGUGCAACCAUAGAAGCUUUGCACUCCAAAACACUACUCAUAGAAUAAUCAUUGACCUUCUGUAUGAAGCAAAGUUGAUAAAGACAUCAGCAAUAGGAUGUGCGGCGUAUGAUGCUUCAAUGCUGCACCAAUGAACAGUGUUUUGCACCACAUUUCAGUUAUCAACCUAAAGCCACGAAAGACGAAAUCUAGGAAGAGGAUGAGAUUCGGCGACUUACUUUGAGUGCACCGGUAUGGCGAUUUCCUCGACGGAAAAAUAGCUUUUGAAAUCCCUCAGAACCGGGGUUAAUGAAUCCAGCAACUGAUGGUGUCCGCACACGCACAACACCCUACCUAGAGAAGGGAGACGGCGGCGACUGGAGGAUAGGAUGGAGGCGAGACCGUCGUUCUCACAGGGUCUGCGAUACCGUCGUUCUCGCAGGGUCUGCGAGACGGAAGAGGCAAUGAGGGUUUGAGAAGGAAAUGGAAAAGGCCAGCUUUACCAUCGUUCUACCCUUCCCAUGAUUAUCAACACGUUUGCAUCAAGAUUAGCGGCAGAGAGAGCUUGGCAGAGCACCUACCUAAAUAUCUCUCUCACUCAGUCCAAACCCGUAGCUCCCAUCUCUCUCCAAUCUGUCAGGCUCUGUGUCUCCCUCCUCUGUAGUCGCUCUAUCCCCCUAUCUCCGCUCGCCAGAGGCACACCCAGCUGUCUCCGAGUCAAAAAUGGGAGCGAUUGUCUCUCUCCAAUUUGUCAGGCGUGAUGUUCCCCUCCCCUCUCUCUCGCCGAGUCAAACGUGAAAUGCAGCCAACGGCUGAAAAUAGGUUUUUAAGCCUGAGUGGCAAUUUUGUAAAUUAAAUGAAAGGUGGUUAAUAGCAUCCGAGUGGUAAUCUUGUAAAUAAACUGAAAUGUGGUGCAAAACACUGUUCAUUGGUACAGUGCAAUUGAAAAGCCUUCUUUAGACUAAA